rnacentral:rRNA from 1 species
UACGUAGGGUGCAAGCGUUAAUCGGAAUUACUGGGCGUAAAGCGUGCGCAGGCGGUUAUGCAAGACAGAUGUGAAAUCCCCGGGCUCAACCUGGGAACUGCAUUGGAAACUGGCGAGCUUGAGUAUGGCAGAGGGGGGUGGAAUUCCGCGUGUAGCAGUGAAAUGCGUAGAGAUGCGGAGGAACACCGAUGGCGAAGGCAGCCCCCUGGGCCAAUACUGACGCUCAGGCACGAAAGCGUGGGGAGCGAACAGG